GAUGGACGCUGGCGGCGUGCCUAAUACAUGCAAGUCGAGCGAACAGACGAGGAGCUUGCUCCUCUGACGUUAGCGGCGGACGGGUGAGUAACACGUGGAUAACCUACCUAUAAGACUGGGAUACCUUCGGGAAACCGGAGCUAAUACCGGAUAAUAUAUUGAACCGCAUGGUUCAAUAGUGAAAGACGGUUUUGCUGUCACUUAUAGAUGGAUCCGCGCCGCAUUAGCUAGUUGGUAAGGUAACGGCUUACCAAGGCAACGAUGCGUAGCCGACCUGAGAGGGUGAUCGGCCACACUGUAACUGAGACACGGCCCAGACUCCUACGGGAGGCAGCAGUAGGGAAUCUUCCGCAAGGGGCGAAAGCUUGACGGAGCAACGCCGCGUGAGUGAUGAAGGUCUUCGGAUCGUAAAGCUCUGUUAUUAGGGAAGAACAAAUGUGUAAGUAACUAUGCACGUCUUGACGGUACCUAGUCAGAAAGCCACGGCUAACUACGUG
rnacentral:rRNA from 1 species